UCUAUCAGGCGUCUGCAAAGGCGGCGAACCAGGAGUGCACCUCCAAUGAACGCUUCGAGCGUAAGACUGAACGAAAAGCUAAGUGCUGACACCUAAAUGGAAAACCCACUAAGAACUGAACAUAAUCGAACGCUGCUUCGCCAAGUAUGGCCCCGGAACCCGUGCGUGGCCGGAGUGUUAGAAGGACGCUUGCGGGGGGAGUGCGCUCCCCGUGUGGCUCCCGGGUCCGUCCCGGGAGGGCAUGGCUUGGAAUAGUUACCCCGCAAGUGGAGUGGCUCGCCGCUACCGCUUGGCCCCAGGUCGGCACCGCAGGGUCCAUCCCGGGUCCCUAGUCCAGUCAAGGGUGAGGCGUGAGUCCCCGGCAACACAAGGCACAGCACGCAAAGGCUGAGGGAGCCACCCCACGAGGCCGCUCCAGGAACAAAGAAAAAGAAUUGAGCAAAUUAAAGAGCUUGAUUAACUAAGUACCGGACGAUUACAGGAACUAAUGCGAGUGUAAUUGUUUAAACGACGCCAAGCGCCACACUUGCAGGAAAAAAACAAACAAAAGAAGAUCCAUUGGAAGGUAGCAGGGGCUGGUAGGGGGCUGCGGCAACUAGUUGCCUGCAUCCUCCUCCGCGGGCU
rnacentral:lncRNA from 1 species